rnacentral:rRNA from 1 species
GUGGGGAAUAUUGGACAAUGGGCGAAAGCCUGACGCAGCCAUGCCGCGUGAAUGAUGAAGGUCUUAGGAUUGUAAAAUUCUUUCACCGGGGACGAUAAUGACGGUACCCGGAGAAGAAGCUCCGGCUAACUUCGUGCCAGCAGCCGCGGUAAUACGAAGGGGGCUAGCGUUGCUCGGAAUUACUGGGCGUAAAGGGCGCGUAGGCGGACAGCUUAGUCAGAGGUGAAAGCCCAGGGCUCAACCUUGGAAUUGCCUUUGAUACUGGCUGUCUUGGGUUUGGGAGAGGUGAGUGGAACUCCGAGUGUAGAGGUGAAAUUCGUAGAUAUUCGGAAGAACACCAGUGGCGAAGGCGACUCACUGGCCCAAUACUGACGCUGAGGCGCGAAAGCGUGGGGAGCAAACAGGAUUAGAAACCCCUGUAGUCC